UAGGGAAUCUUCGGCAAUGGACGAAAGUCUGACCGAGCAACGCCGCGUGCGGGAAGAAGGUUUUCGGAUCGUAAAACUCUGUUGUUAGAGAAGAACAAGGACGUUAGUAACUGAACGUCCCCUGACGGUAUCUAACCAGAAAGCCACGGCUAACUACGUGCCAGCAGCCGCGGUAAUACGUAGGUGGCAAGCGUUGUCCGGAUUUAUUGGGCGUAAAGCGAGCGCAGGCGGUUUCUUAAGUCUGAUGUGAAAGCCCCCGGCUCAACCGGGGAGGGUCAUUGGAAACUGGGAGGCUUGAGUGCAGAAGAGGAGAGUGGAAUUCCAUGUGUAGCGGUGAAAUGCGUAGAUAUAUGGAGGAACACCAGUGGCGAAGGCGGCUCUCUGGUCUGUAACUGACGCUGAGGCUCGAAAGCGUGGGGAGCAAACAGG
rnacentral:rRNA from 1 species